rnacentral:rRNA from 1 species
AACGAACGCUGGCGGCAGGCCUAACGCAUGCAAGUCGAACGGGACCUUCGGGUCUAGUGGCGGACGGGUGAGUAACGCGUGGGAACGUGCCCUUUGGUUCGGAAUAGCCCUGGGAAACUGGGAGUAAUACCGGAUACGGUCGAGAGACGAAAGAUUUAUCGCCGAAGGAUCGGCCCGCGUUGGAUUAGGUAGUUGGUGGGGUAAUGGCCUACCAAGCCGACGAUCCAUAGCUGGUUUGAGAGGAUGAUCAGCCGCACUGGGACUGAGACAAGGCCCAGACUCAUACGGGAGGCAGCAGUGGGGAAUCGUAGAUAAUGGGGGAAACCCUGAUCUAGCCAUGACGCGUGAGCGAUGAAGGCCUUAGGGUUGUAAAGCUCUUUCAGUGGGGAAGAUGAUGACGGUACCCACAGAAGAAGCCCCGGCUAACUCCGUGCCAGCCGCCGCAGUAAAAC